rnacentral:rRNA from 1 species
ACGCUAGCGGCAGGCCUUACACAUGCAAGUCGAACGGUAACAUAAUCAGCUUGCUGAUUGAUGACGAGUGGCGCACGGGUGCGUAACACGUAUGCAACCUACCUCUAACAGGGGGAUAGCCCAGAGAAAUUUGGAUUAAUACCCCAUAGUAUUAUUUAUUGGCAUCGAUAGAUAAUUAAAACUCCGGUGGUUAGAGAUGGGCAUGCGUUCUAUUAGCUAGUUGGUACGGUAACGGCGUACCAAGGCAACGAUAGAUAGGGGGCCUGAGAGGGUUAUCCCCCACACUGGUACUGAGACACGGACCAGACUCCUACGGGAGGCAGCAGUGAGGAAUAUUGGUCAAUGGAGGCAACUCUGAACCAGCCAUGCCGCGUGCAGGAAGACGGCCCUAUGGGUUGUAAACUGCUUUUGUAUGGGAAGAACUAGUUUUACGUGUAAGACUUUGACGGUACCAUACGAAUAAGGAUCGGCUAACUCCGUGCCAGCAGCCGCGGUAAUACGGAGGAUCCAAGCGUUAUCCGGAUUCAUUGGGUUUAAAGGGUCCGCAGGCGGACUAAUAAGUCAGUGGUGAAAGCCUGCAGCUUAACUGUAGAACUGCCAUUGAUACUGUUAGUCUUGAAUUCGGUCGAAGUGGGCGGAAUAUGUCAUGUAGCGGUGAAAUGCAUAGAUAUGACAUAGAACACCAAUUGCGAAGGCAGCUCACUAGGUCGAUAUUGACGCUCAUGGACGAAAGCGUGGGGAGCGAACAGGAUUAGAUACCCUGGUAGUCCACGCCGUAAACGAUGAUCACUCGCUGUUGGCGAUACACUGUCAGCGGCCAAGCGAAAGUUUUAAGUGAUCCACCUGGGGAGUACGUUCGCAAGAAUGAAACUCAAAGGAAUUGACGGGGGCCCGCACAAGCGGUGGAGCAUGUGGUUUAAUUCGAUGAUACGCGAGGAACCUUACCUGGGCUUAAAUGUAGAGUGACAGCUGUGGAAAUACGGUUUUCUUCGGACACUUUACAAGGUGCUGCAUGGUUGUCGUCAGCUCGUGCCGUGAGGUGUCGGGUUAAGUCCCAUAACGAGCGCAACCCCUAUUGUUAGUUGCUAACGAGUAAUGUCGAGGACUCUAGCAAAACUGCCCGCGCAAGCGGUGAGGAAGGUGGGGAUGACGUCAAAUCAUCACGGCCCUUACGUCCAGGGCUACACACGUGCUACAAUGGUAUCUACAACAGGAAGCAAGACUGCGAAGUUAAGCAAAUCCUUAAAAGAUACCUCAGUUCGGAUUGCACUCUGCAACUCGAGUGCAUGAAGCUGGAAUUACUAGUAAUCGUGGAUCAGCGUGCCACGGUGAAUGCGUUCCCGGGUCUUG